rnacentral:rRNA from 1 species
AUGGGAGACUUUAGUGAUAUACUUGAUCUCUCGGAGAAGAACAGUAAUGUUAUUCCAAACUAUCAUCAUAUGGCUAGAUUUUUCAAUUAUGUUAAACGAUUUGGUUUUAUAGACAUGGGUUAUAAUGGUCCUGUUUUCACUUGGUGUAAUAAGCGUUUUACUUCUAUGCCUACUUAUGAGAGACUUGAUUGUUGUUUUGCCAAUGCAGAAUGGUGUAAUAAAUUUCCUAAUACUUUUGUUUACAACCUUCAUAUUUUAUGUACAGAUCAUGCUCCUAUUCUUACUAUCUCAAAACCUAAGACUGUAAAAACCAAUAUAACUUUAAAUUCAAAAAUUGGGGGCUCUUUGAAGACGAUUAUCAUAAUAUAG